rnacentral:rRNA from 1 species
UAAUACGUAGGGAGCAAGCGUUGUCCGGAUUUACUGGGUGUAAAGGGUGCGUAGGCGGCUCUGCAAGUCAGGUGUGAAAACUAUGGGCUUAACCCAUAGACUGCAUUUGAAACUGCGGAGCUUGAGUGAAGUAGAGGCAGGCGGAAUUCCCGGUGUAGCGGUGAAAUGCGUAGAGAUCGGGAGGAACACCAGUGGCGAAGGCGGCCUGCUGGGCUUUAACUGACGCUGAGGCACGAAAGCAUGGGUAGCAAACAGGAUUAGAUACCCUGGUAGUCCAUGCCGUAAACGAUGAUUACUAGGUGUGGGGGGUCUGACCCCUUCCGUGCCGGAGUUAACACAAUAAGUAAUCCACCUGGGAAGUACGACCGCAAGGUUGAAACUCAAAUGAAUUGACGG